CAUCUUUUCACUUUGUAUAAAUUUCAGUAAUACUUUUAAGAACACCUAGAGACUCUACCUAUCCACCAUGCACAAAGUUGGCUGUAAGGUAGGACUGGCAAAGGUUCCCAAAUUGCCCAAUGGUUUCUUAAAGGUGAUUCUUGCAAGGCUCUUGGGGAAAGUUUACUGGUACCUAUGGAUAAUCACAAAGGUGCUUCACUUCAUGUGGAUGUUUCUGCUCCAUCAGAGAAGAUGCAUUAAACUACCUCCUUAUCUGACAGCACUUAAUCCAUGCACUGGGUCUGCCAGGUCUAAGAAGUUCUUCAUUCUUAUGGGAAUCUGCAUUAACAAAUAGCCACUGAAUACUCUCCUGGAGAUGUAAGCAACCUGUCAAGAUAGGAAGAAGUUAAUAAACAAAGUAUACAGCUGGAAAUCAAAUUCACAUCCCUAUAAUGGCUCUUGCACACUGAGAACCCCUCCUUUGAACAUUGCUUCCCUGAUGUGAUAGCGUUAAAUUUUGCCUACGGUGAGAUAACCUGGAGGAAAUUGUUCAGAAUUGUUUGGAGUUUGCUUGAUGCUGUUCUUCUUCUUUCUCUCAUAUUUUUUCAUCUUCUUUGUUUACUCUUUAGGAAAAAUUUGUGUGGCUGUGAAGAUGAUUGAAGCAUCAUUUUCUCAGUUUUUCCCCGGAUUUCUUCUUUGCACUCUAUGCCAUCCUUUCUUCCUGCGACUCUUCCUUUUGUGACAAAAAGCACUGCUAAUUGCAUAGAUUAGCUUCAAAUCCAGGAUCAAAGGUUUAACGCUUCGAUUUUCUGCUUCUUAGGCAUUUUAUUUUUUUUCUCUCAUAUGGGAAAUUUGCAAAACUGUUCACUACAGAAUUGAGUUGGUUUUCCUCUGAAAGUUGAGGGAAAAGGCUAAGCGUGGAAGGGGUAUGUUCUUACUUGACCUUAUCUGUUCUUUUGGCAGGUAUAUACUUUGCAUUAUGUCAUUAAAAGGCAAAGUGAUGGUUUUCGAGUAUUUUUGCAGAGCCAUGCUGCAGAGAGAGGAAAUGCUGCCACUGUGUCAUUUUUACUUUUCCUGAGAGUGAUAAAACAGAACCAACUCUUGGCAUAUAGACUGUUUAUACACUGUUUGCUGAGCUUGGUGAAAAGACGUUAUGUGUUCCUUGUCUAUCAAAAAUUUGUACAGGCAUGGAAAGUGGAUAGGCAGCAUUUUGAAAAGCUCCUUAGGGCUUUUUAGAAAGAUUUUUUAUACUUCAACUGGCAUGAGAGGCUUCCAUUUCAAACGUCAACAAAGGCUGGCAUUUGUGAGCCUGCCUUGCUGCUGAGGGCUGCAAGGAGUCAGAGUUCCCUGUGCAACUCUGAAUCAAGUUCAGCCUUGUGUUCUCAUCUGUAAUCAGAUAAAACAAACAAACAAGAAAGGAUGGGUGGGGAAAGCAUUAAUAUUUUAAACCUGGCUUUACCUGUCUGUUGCCUUUGAAAAUAAAAUUGUGUGUUUGAAUCAGUUUUGGCAGUCAAAUUUUGUGAAAUCUGUUGCAUGCAAUUUGAACAGCCACUAUACCUUCACAACACCCCAGGUGUAGAGAGUUACGCUGACAGUCAACCUAUGAAUUCAAAACUCUGUACAUAAAAGUAGGUAUUGCUAAUGCUGUGCUUAAAACUAUUCCACCAAAGAAAAGAACUUAAUAACAUGGGGGUGGUGAAGGUGAAGCUAUAUGAAAGCAUAGCUUUCCACAGCACAGUGUUGGAGUUAUUUUUCUUACGUACAACCACCACAGAGCUUUCCUUUCCCUUAGCAGCAGCCAAUCAAAAAAACGCAAAAGUGGCAGAUGACUAAAGCAUGCUUAAUGACAAACAACAUACAGUUUUCUCAGUGUCUGCAUUAGCUAAUGAAAAUAGAAGCUGAAAGAAUCAGGAGCAGAUCCAUUACAUGGUUUGCUUUUGUGUAAAUUGACUUUAUUUAUGUUUAAGCUUACAGAUAAACAGUUUGUGAUUCCAGAAAUUGCCUGUUAUAUACAGUCCGUUGAUGUGAUAUAUUUUGUUUCUUGAAGGCUUCUGAAGAUAAAAUAAUAAUAAUAAUAAUUACUCUUUCUAUAAUGACAACAUUUUAUCACCACAGAUAAUGAGAGUGCAGAAUUAUGGUUUACUCACCCACACACUGAAGAAAAUUGUGUCAUUCCUACAUCCAUUGCAAGGGAUAGAUUUAUUUUCUUUGUCCUUUCUUUUUUGUUCUUGCUUUUUGGAAACUUGAAUGUCCUCUUUCCCUGGUUUUCUCGCUUGCUCAUCUACAACCUCUAAUGCAAAUUUAUACUAAAUAUUGCUUGACCACACUCCCAAAUCACAAGAAUUAAUUCUUACCAUUAUUAUUUCUGCUGUCACAAAGAUUUAAAAACAUAAAUAGCUUUUUCUUUUUUUCUUCUUUUUUUUUUUUUAUUUUUGAGGCAAGAAGAAGAAAGGGUAUUGAACAAACACAUGACACUAAAGGAAUAAAAUAUGAACUGAACUUCCUCUAGAUUUCAAGCUAAUUAUUUUUCCCAGUUUGGUUACACACAACUGAGAAACAUUUAAAGGGAUGCAAAUUAGAAGAUCGUUAAUACGCAACCUAUGGUUUCAUCUGCCAGUCUUCAAGCAGAAGACCACGCUUCCCCCUCCAACACCAUUUUCAAGUUUUAUAGCUUAGUGUAACCAUUUUAAUUGUUCUUUUUCUGCAAGGCAUGAAGAUAAACCAUGCAUGAAUCAAUACAUGAAUGAAUCAGCCUCUGGUCUAGCUCACUGAUGUACUCAUCAUUUAUAUCCUUGCAUAAUUUACAGAAAUUGAAAGUGUAGUGAGGCUUUGCAUUCAGCUGAAUGUGGUUUGUUUACACAGUCCAAUAGAGUUUCACGUUCCAGAAAAGCUGAUUCUGCAGGGAUUGCUCAAGCAGGAUAAAAACAUCUAAAGCUUUGUGCUAAAAUAGAUGCAGUUAAGUGCCUAGGUGUCCCAUCACUUUUAGCCAAAUCUUAAUGAGAACACUGACAUCUUGGCUUUGUUGUGCAUGGUUUCACUUAAUUCAGAGGUAGCUGGGGCUCCCUGCACAAAAUUCAGUAGGCUGGAGUAUUAGCCUUUGGCUGAAAGAAAGACUAAGAUUCAUCUCAGUGAACUGCAGCUGCUUGAAAGUUAGGCAUCUAAACUAAUUUACUUGUCCAGGUUCCUGCAAUGACUGAGACACCUCCCCCACCUGGCUGUUCCUCUCAUAACCAGGAUUCACCUCCAGAGAUUACCACCUCUUGGAUGCCAUUCUCAAUUCUUCAUUUCCACUAACCUUAACAGGAUGUGAGACCACAAAAAGCAAGACACAUUAACUAUUCCCAGCACUUCUAGAAAAAUACCCUUACUAUCAGCAUGUUUCCUUCUGUUUUCUGUACCCACUUUGGCCAUACAUCACAGGAAUUAGGACUAAUGGGAAGAAAAUCCCUGCCAGGUUUCCUCAGAGCUCUUCUCCUUUGGCAAUGGUGUUUUUCCCCCAUUCUCUCCACUUUCACACAAACACACCCCACCAUUCCCCAGCCAACAAUGGAGACCGGGGGAUGAGGGGGGAGGGCAAACCCUGCAGACUGUCUGCCUCCACAGACUGUUAUUUUGGAUUUCAUUGACCUUUGAUAGGGCAACUCUUUUUCGGAUCGCUCUCUUGGUUGUAUUCUCCAGGGGAUAUGGCUUUUUACAUUACAAAUUUUGAAAGAUUCUAGGGAAGAAUUUCUGUCUCUCAAAAGCCCUAUAUCUGCUUGAAGUGUUUGGGUUUAUCAGUGACAAUUACAAAACAGAAGCAGUCUGUAUGUGAGGAAAGAUUUCUGUUUGUUGUUUGUAAGCUAUUUUCACUUUGGCUGUAGCUGUCAAGGGGGAUUUCACAGCCAUCCACAUUAUGUCUCACCCCUGUAGCUGAUAUCAGAGCAACCUUAGCUGCUUGAGUAGAAAAAAGAAUCAAGGAGACACAUUAUCUUUUAAAGAAAAGGAACAAAAAAUACUUUUGCAGAACCAACCUAGAGCUCUGCAUCAAAUACCAUCUGUGUUUAAAAAGAAACACAGGGUUGUGAUGUUAAUGAAUUAUUGUUAUUUCCUAGAGGCACAGAUGAAGUGUUUGGUUUUGUGCAAAUCAGAAGUCUCAAACCAGCCCUGUCCCAUUAGCACGGCACAUCAAACACCACAAGCUGAUUUUUGGUUUUUUGGUUCAGCUGAAGGCUGAGGAUUUACACCACUAACAACAGCCACGCAUAUGGUCACAUACAGUCAGGAAAUGAACAACUCUGCAUGAACCGAAGAGAGCGAGGGUGCAAUAAAAACAUAUCCUGCAAAGGGAUCUGUGACGGGAAAUGGGAGGAGAGCUCAGCUUGCAAGAGAAGAACAAAGCCUGUCUCUCUCCAGACUCCACUCUUCAGCAACAUACCACUCAGGAAAGGCCCUGAAAUCCAAAACAUCACUGAGGAGAUGUUUCAGUCUGUGUGAAGGUCAACACCCAGGGUACUGAGAGGGCACCAAGAGGUGCAUCGUGACAAAGAGGCCUGUCCCCCUGCAGAGCCUGGGCCUGGGCUUCAGAAGAUGCUGAUGAAGGCACUGGGUUUGUCCCAUCAUCCAAACACUUACAGUAAGUAGUCAAGGCAGCAUCCACUUCUGAAGUAAGAAACUUCACAUUUUAUUCAACUUUGCCAUGUGCAGUUUGCACAUUUGUUUCUGUAACCACGGACAGCUUUUGGAAGCAUAGUUAAGCAGCAAGCAAGCCCAGAAGGUCUGGGAGAGGAUACAAGAGUGUGUCUCUUAAUGCUCCUGAUAUCCCCAAAGCAAAACAGAGAAAUAAAAGCUGUAAGAUUUCUUUAACACAUUAUAAUGGGUUGAGAAGGAGCUUCAAUUCUGUUGUGAGGGUUGGUGGAUUUUUUUGCCCUCCAGGACUUCACUGUUGCCCACCUGAGGCAGAAAAAAGCUUCACCAACAUGACUAGAAAGUGUGUUUCCAGAAGGAAAAGCAGGACAAGGCAGCCACUGGAUGGGUUAAGUAUUAAAUGCACCUACCCUUGCUUAAAGAGCAUUGCAUGGUGACAUUUUGGUGACUUUGGCUGUUUUGGUGACAUAGAAUAUCUAGUGAUGCCAUGAAAGUGACCUUCCUGUUUGCAGAGAGAUUUACACGCUAUAAGACAUGUGCCCUACUGAUAUCUUGGCCACCUGCUGUCGUGCUUUAUCUGAUUAACAUUUCAUUGAUUUUUCAUGUAAUAGUCAUAUCCAUUCCCAUAGUUUAUAAUCCAAAGUCUUCAAUUGUGUGGAUAUCUGCACUCUCCUGACAUAUAUGGUAUACCUAGACAUGUUUUAUUCAUAUAUUUUGAGACCUAGAACUAGAAUUAUCUUAGAGUAAUUAGCCAUGACAGAGGAGCACUAAAUCAGAUGAUAAGCAAGCAUGGUAAAACAUAAAAUGGAUUAUUUCUUCUCUCAUGUUACCAAUAAAUGGAAAAAAAAAACUUUGGUGUGUUUGGCAGUGCUCCACUUCCUUUACUUCACAACUGUGUGAAAUGAGAGAGGUAUUUUGUAAUAAUGCAGGUAUACUACAUCUAAAAACAAAUACAGCAUUUUCUCUCCUUCACCUAGGAGAAAAUGAGAGCAAAGUUAAACUCACAUCUUCAGAGCAGUGCUGACAGAUCUUUGAACACAUGCAGACAGGAGAGUUGAUUGGGUCACUCGGGCUAAUGGUGCUACUUGUGGAGAUGAUUCAAAGUGCUCCAAGUCAGUAAUCACCUAAUUGGCCUCGGUGGACUUCAGAUCUCUGUUUCCCAUAACAAAGGUUAGAAUCUGCUCAAACUUAUCUGCGAAUUUCAAGUUUGUCCCUAAGUUAUAGUAAAGCAUGUGAUAUAGUCUGUACUUUCUUGUAAUUAUUGUCGUUUCUUGCUGUUGACAGAUGAGGUGGUAUAUUGCUCCUCAGACAUGGAUGAGAUGCAUACUUCCAUCUGAGAAAUCAAGUCAGAACAGAAUAAGAUGCUUGAAGACUCCUGACAGGAAAAGACAAAAGAAGAUUAGAAACCUUGCAUGCAGCAGCAAAAACAGACUGUGAAUAUUGAAAGCAGGAUCCUGGAUUUUAAAUACAAGCUCAAUUUUCAGGUUUGGAUUUAACCUCUGCAUGUGAGCACAUCUGCCAGAUGAUCCAACCCACUGAUGCUACCUGCCCUCCUAAGCUGAUCUCCCUGGCUGAAGGGUCAGGAGGAGUACUGCCAACCUGGACAGGGUUUCUCAUCUUGAAGCAGAAGAUAGGAAGAGUACAUUCAAGUUAUGAAAUGCAGCAUCAGGGAGAAGAACAGUGCUGGGCCAAAAACCUUGCUUUGCCCCACCACUCAGCAUCGUGCUGCAGCAGGGAGAGGGCAGCAGUCCCUCUGGUACCCCUAUUCUCCAUGCAAAGAGCAGCAGACGGCGGUGAUCAGAUCCAGCCUUGCUGACCUUGCACCAACAUGGAUAUGGAGCAGCCACAUGAGUAGUCAACUUUUGAAUAAAUCACACUGCUCCUGCCACUCACAGUGCUGUCAAGUUACUUGUCAAAAUCAACGUGGUCAGGCAGAAAGGUCACCAAAUGUAAGAGGAUUUUUUUUUUCAUGGAAAAGAUUUCCUCUUCUUCUGUUUGGCACCACCAAGCACGACCUGUGUCCAUCACUUGCCAUGAGCAUCACCCUGCUGUGCUAUCUCCCAUAUCAUCAGAGCUUGCCACACUUCUAGAGGAAGCUGAGCUCAUGUUUCUUUUUCAGGUAUGCUCUGACAAGCCAUGCAGCUUUGUACCUAGCUGGUACGUGUGUAGGUACUGAAUGCCAUCCAGCACUGUACGCCAAUUAAGUAAAUGCACUUUGAGAACAGAUGUGACAUUUAAAAAGUCCCUGCAAAACCUCUUUCAGCAAAACAUCAAGCAAAACAUUAGCAGCACUCUGAAGAAUUUCUGAGAAAAUGUGAGAUGAUUUUACUUCUGCAACAACAGCAACAAAAAUAAACGCAAGGCAGGAAGAGGAAAACACACUUGUUAAAUAACAGCCAAAUCAGCCGGUGUGAAAAUCUGAUGAGAAGUUAUUGACUGCAAAAGAGUACGUGUGCAUAUACCACAUCACUGCCACAGAGACACAGGAUGUUGUUAGUACAAUGAGAACCUUUGCUCAGCUGUCAUUAAACCGCAGGCUGUACUCACUCUUGGUCUGUUUGACUAAUUCUCAGAUACAUUUCACAGUAUCAGCUGUUCUGCUGGAUAAGUUACGCCAACUGCUCUCCCUCUGACAGGAUGAACUGAGUUGCUUCUUGUUGAUACUGAAGAAACAAGGCUGCACGUGCUAUCUGCUCCUCCCCACGCUCUCAAAAACAAAACACCAUGGUGGUGCAUAGAGAACCUGGACACCACACCAGUAAAUGCUUACAUAUGUCCUGAAUGUCACUCCAGAUCCUCCCACUUUGACCUAUUGCAGGGUUUAAUCCCACCUGCUAUUAAAUAAACAGCAGGAUUCCCAUUGAAAAGAAGCUAAGUUCUCUUGUCCUUGCAGGAACAGGAGUAUGCCCAGAGAAGUACAUGUUUUUUUUCUCUCAAAAUGCUGCAUUAAACAAACCCCAUGUUCCAAAUAGCAAUAAUAAUCAACUACAUAACCCUCCCAUAAGGUAGAUGAAGUGGUGUAGGCAGGGGUCAAUGCAGUUCAUGCAGCUCUAACUUGGGCUGUGCAGAGUUUUCCCAUUGCUGGGCUUGGAGAACAAACGUGAAUGUUAUUUAUCUGUCAUUUUAAUUACUGCCAUAGCACUGGCACAGUGAAGAAAAGCACUGUGAAGCAGAAACUGGUAGCUGUAUUUCCUGCAGUACUCCUGUCUUCAAAGGACAAAGAAGUAAAACACAAGAUACGUUUCCGGCUCUUCCACAAGCAUCUCCCAAGUUCCAUAGGAAAAAAGGCUCUUUGCCAAGAGUUACAAAAGUCUUUUUUAUGACCACAUGUAUAUUCACACAUGUACUCUGAAAUUACUGAGAAGUCAGACACGAGGAAAAGUGAUUUUUUUUUCAAAAUUAGUAGCCAGAAUUAGAAAUGGGCAAUAGAUGUCCUUACUCAGAGCCUUCCUUUGAACAUCAGGACACAGUUCAAGCAAGAAACACUGGUAAAUUUAGCAAGAUUUCCCAGACACAUUACUGAGCUUUGAGGAGAUGUGUUCUUUGUGAACUCUCAGCAGUUCCCUUGUCUGGUAGGCAUCUGCAACAUGCUGAAAUGCCCUAGUGCUGCUCUGUUCUCACCUAAGCAAUGUAGCUGACCUUUCCAUAUCAGUUCUUGUGUGUAGCAUGAUAGCUUUAACCGGGCAAGACAAAGAAAAGCCAACAUAACGUGGCUGCAGUCACGUUAUCUGUCUGAGAGACUUUCUUUACUGCCUCCUUAGCUGAACAGUGAAUGAAUGGCACUUUUGCAGAUUUAACCUUUCCUUUAUGUCCUUUCUCUGAGUCACGAGGAUUUCAUUCUCUGUUCUGUAGCUCACCUGCAAAAAGUACCAUUUCCUUCUUCUGCCACAAAACAUGCGCUCACAGUGUAGAGACAGAAGAAACACUGCUAUCAUUUCCCCUUGGCCGAUGUGAGGAGAUCAUGCAGCUAAAGGCAGCAGUGUCUGUGCCGUGUUUACAUUCCCGCUGAGCAGGUACAGACAGGGCACAGACCCAGAUGUGUCAACUGGGGCACUGCUGUGCACACACAAAAAAAUCAUCAAGAAAUUGAAGUUCUGCCAAAGGGAAACUCAGGGGUCUUUUUGCAGCAUCCAGGGCAGGGAUUAAUGCUGGCAAUUGUGCGCGGCUUUUAAUUUCCUAGGGGUGACAUUUCUGAUGCCAUAAAGGCAUAAUUCUGUGGUUCAUUUUGUUUCUACUUACCCAGCAUACCUCUCAUAAAGAAGAGCAAUAGAUUAUUAUCUGACUUGUUCUUGCUGUUUUACAGACAGCAUUUUGCGAGGGUUGCCUUGUCCAUUCUGAGGAUGCUUUCAAAACACUACUCAAAAAGGGCUUUUUUUUCCCCCCAGUUUUAAAAGAUGAACUCCUCUUUCUAUGUUAUUUCUAUGAAUGUCCAACAUGAUUCAAAUUUUUCACAUGCAAUUCCUGAAUAUGAGUGCCUCCUCUAUUGCAUAUCUGACAACAACACAAUUGUGUUUGGAGAGUGAGUGCAAGGGCAUGCACAAAGUCUGGCCUCUGGAACAUCGCUCACACUGGAAGUAAUCAGAACUGUGAUAUCCAAAAUAAUAACACAUUUUUUAAAAUAGCAGCAACAAUCCCCUUUCUAGGGAUGCUUUAUGAUGCUGACUACUUAAAUAGUCCCACCAAGGGGGCUGCGCAUGCAACAGGUUUCCGAAGAGCUCUGAUUCUGUCCCACCCGAUCACAGAGUGAGGGGGAAUCUUUCUAUAAGGAAAUUUUCAUAUUCAUAAAAAAAAGAUACGUCUACAGCUUAAUUUGUGGGCCGAUAUGAAAGGCACUGGCAAAGAGUUCCUCAAAAUUUAGAUUUUUGUUAGAAAUCGUUUGUUAGCUAUGAAUCCUUUCCCUUUCCUUGCACCACAAAUAGCUGAGUCAGCAAACGAGAUGUUUCUUUGUAUCAUGAGGACAACAUAUUUGCCCCCAUAUAAGUUUCCUUUGGCCUUUUUUUGAUUGUUUGUUUGUUUUGUUUGUUUGUUUGUAGACACAGCUCAUGAAAAUCAAGGUAGUCCAAAACUGCUACAUUUUACGUGUAGGCACAAGGACUUGGAUAAGACAGCCAUUAUCAUCCUUUCAGCAAGGCCAGUGGUAUAGCUGAGCAGAAUCUUGCCCUAUAUCAGUACAGUGAGCACCAAGGGUGCAAAGCUGGAGAAGUGAUCUGAGCCAAGGAGAUAGCUUCCACCCGAGGUCCCUGUCCAUAGCUCCUCAUCUCUUCCCCGGACACAUACACCUGAUCUUCCUGCCCACAAGCAUGCACUGUGCUGCAGGAGCUAACAGGAAGAUGUGUUUGGGAUGGCUCUGCUGAGGGACAGAGGCUUUCCUGUCACCAGCAGCACAGAGGGAGGGACAGGUCACCUCCAAGGAACAUACUGCAUGUGAAAGGAAUAUGACUUUUGCAGCUUGAACAGGGGAGAGGCAGGGAGGAUCCAAUCCAGCCAGCAGAGAGGAAAAGAAAACACAGUGAUAGUGAGACAAGAUAUCUUGGGAAACUGCAAACAUCUUACCUAAUGAGCUCUGAGGGUCACAGCACCACCAGUCUGGUCCACUGCCCAAGAUGCUUCUUCCAGUUGCUCUGUGUCACAUGGCCUCG
ensembl:lncRNA